rnacentral:tRNA from 2 species
GUUCUUGUAAUUUAAUAUAAAAUGUUGGUCUUGUAAACCAAAUCUAAGAAAUUCUUCCAGAACA